rnacentral:rRNA from 1 species
UGGGGAAUAUUGGACAAUGGGCGCAAGCCUGAUCCAGCCAUGCCGCGUGAGUGAUGAAGGCCCUAGGGUUGUAAAGCUCUUUCACCGGUGAAGAUAAUGACGGUAACCGGAGAAGAAGCCCCGGCUAACUUCGUGCCAGCAGCCGCGGUAAUACGAAGGGGGCUAGCGUUGUUCGGAUUUACUGGGCGUAAAGCGCACGUAGGCGGACUAUUAAGUCAGGGGUGAAAUCCCGGGGCUCAACCCCGGAACUGCCUUUGAUACUGGUAGUCUUGAGUUCGGGAGAGGUGAGUGGAAUUCCGAGUGUAGAGGUGAAGUUCGUAGAUAUUCGGAGGAACACCAGUGGCGAAGGCGGCUCACUGGCUCGAUACUGACGCUGAGGUGCGAAAGCGUGGGGAGCAAACAGG